CCUACGGGUGGCUGCAGUGAGGAAUAUUGGUCAAUGGACGAGAGUCUGAACCAGCCAAGUAGCGUGACGGAUGACUGCCCUAUGGGUUGUAAACUUCUUUUAUAUGGGAAUAAAAUGUUCCACGUGUGGGAUUUUGUAUGUACCAUAUGAAUAAGGAUCGGCUAACUCCGUGCCAGCAGCCACGGUAAUACGGAGGAUCCGAGCGUUAUCCGGAUUUAUUGGGUUUAAAGGGAGCGUAGGUGGAUUGUUAAGUCAGUUGUGAAAGUUUGCGGCUCAACCGUAAAAUUGCAGUUGAAACUGGCAGUCUUGAGUACAGUAGAGGUGGGCGGAAUUCGUGGUGUAGCGGUGAAAUGCUUAGAUAGCACGAAGAACUCCGAUUGCGAAGGCAGUUCACUGGACUGCAACUGACACUGAGGCUCGAAAGUGUGGGUAUCAAACAGGAUGAGAUACCCCAGUAGUC
rnacentral:rRNA from 1 species